rnacentral:rRNA from 1 species
AGAGUUUGAUCCUGGCUCAGAUUGAACGCUGGCGGCAUGCUUUACACAUGCAAGUCGAACGGCAGCACGGGGGCAACCCUGGUGGCGAGUGGCGAACGGGUGAGUAAUAUAUCGGAACGUACCCGGAAAUGGGGGAUAACGUAGCGAAAGUUACGCUAAUACCGCAUAUGCCCUAAGGGGGAAAGCGGGGGAUUCGCAAGAACCUCGCGUUUUCGGAGCGGCCGAUAUCGGAUUAGCUAGUAGGUGAGGUAAAGGCUCACCUAGGCGACGAUCCGUAGCUGGUCUGAGAGGACGACCAGCCACACUGGAACUGAGACACGGUCCAGACUCCUACGGGAGGCAGCAGUGGGGAAUUUUGGACAAUGGGCGCAAGCCUGAUCCAGCCAUGCCGCGUGAGUGAAGAAGGCCUUCGGGUUGUAAAGCUCUUUCAGCCGGAAAGAAAACGCACGGGUUAAUAACCUGUGUGGAUGACGGUACCGGAAGAAGAAGCACCGGCUAACUACGUGCCAGCAGCCGCGGUAAUACGUAGGGUGCGAGCGUUAAUCGGAAUUACUGGGCGUAAAGCGUGCGCAGGCGGUUUUGUAAGACAGAUGUGAAAUCCCCGGGCUUAACCUGGGAAACUGCAUUUGUAACUGCAAGGCUAGAGUACGGCAGAGGGGGGUAGAAUUCCACGUGUAGCAGUGAAAUGCGUAGAUAUGUGGAGGAAUACCGAUGGCGAAGGCAGCCCCCUGGGUCGAUACUGACGCUCAUGC